UCUUAUCAAGAGAGGUGGAGGGACUGGCCCUAUGAAACCCAGCAACCAAACUUAAGGUUAGGUAUCUAAUCUAAGAAGUGGUGCUAAUUCCAGCCGUAUUUUACGGAGAGAUA
rnacentral:ncRNA from 1 species